rnacentral:rRNA from 1 species
AUUGAACGCUGGCGGCAUGCUUUACACAUGCAAGUCGAACGGCAGCACGGGUGCUUGCACCUGGUGGCGAGUGGCGAACGGGUGAGUAAUGCAUCGGAACGUGCCCAUGAGUGGGGGAGUAGCCGGCGAAAGACCGGAUUAAUACCGCAUACGCCCUUAGGGGAAAGGACGGGGAGUCUUCGGACCUCGCGCUAUUGGAGCGGCCGACUGUCGGAUUAGCUAGUAGGUGAGGUAAAGGACUCACCUAGGCGACGAUCCGUAGCUGGUCUGAGAGGAUGAUCAGCCACACUGGGACUGAGACACGGCCCAGACUCCUACGGGAGGCAGCAGUGGGGAA